rnacentral:lncRNA from 1 species
CGGGUUGCGCGACGGCGAGAGGAUGUGCUGUGCCGGUUGCGGCGUGUCGCGGCGUGCGCGACCCAUCGCGAGUGACCGCUAGAAAGUGCGCCUUCAUUUCCUUGCGAAUGCUGCCUUGCGCCGUUAUCCGUCAGAGUCCGCAACUUUGCGCCUUCAUUCGUCUCUAUACGCAACGCGAGUUACCUCGCGCCUUCAUUCGUUUGCAUAUGCAACGGGGGUAACCUUGCUCAGCCCGGCGCCUUCAUUCAUCUGUGUAUGCAACGCGUGUGACAUUGCUCCUUCGUCCGUCUUCAAAUGCAACGCGAGUAAUCUCGCGCCUUCAUCCGUUCGCUUAUGCAACCCGGAUUAUCUUGCUCGACCCUAGCGCCUUCAUUCACCUGUGAAUGCAACGUGUGUAACUUUACGCCUUCAAUAGUAUGUGUAUGGAACGUGGAUAUUGGCUUCAUUGAUAACACGUGUAACGGUGCACCUUGAACAUGCAACGUGAUUAACCUCGCGCCUUCGUCCGACUGCGUAUACAAAGUGUUUAACUUUGCGCCUUCAUUCGGCUGCGUAUGCAACGCGGGUAACCUCGCGCCUUCAUCCGACUGCGUAUGCAGCGUGUGUAUCCUUCCGCCUUCAUUCGGCUGCGUAUGCAACGCGGGUAACCUUGCUCGGUCCCGGCCCGAUGAGGGUUCCGGCUCUGUUGACCCUCGUUGCCUGUGCCUUGUGCUCCGCGUCGGCGAGUGAGUUCCCCGACCGGGAGUGCUGUGAUCCGGUCUUCCCGCUGGCUGCCCUCUCGGCCUCCGUCACCCCGGACACCGCCGCCGCAGCAACUCCAGGUAAUUGCACAUUUACACGAGAUUCUUUGCAUGAAGCAAGCGAAAAAAACAUUGCUUGUUGUUCGGUAUACCUGUCACGACGAGCACGAGAUGUUGGCGAAUAAGGUAUUAAGACAGUCUUAAUUGGCAACCUGCUCUCCGAUAGUACGUGUACAAGGAAGCAAAAUAAAACCAAACAAAUUUCUCAUGCGCAUGUUCAUGUAAAUUUUAUUCACUGAAAAAUAAUUAAAACUCUCGAAUUAUUUGCCUUUAUAUUAAAAUAUUUAAAUAUCAAAGCAGAUAUUGCAACGUCCAAUCGCUCAAACUGCAUGCUUUCCCAUCAGGGAGAAGUUGAUACCUUGAGCAAUAAUUGACAGGUUGAGAAUGCGUUGUUGAUCAAGGCGCUGUGAUACAACUAUUCAGACUCUAUGGAUGUGCGUGUUGCAUGCGUAAAAAUUG